rnacentral:lncRNA from 1 species
GAUGGAGAAGGGCGCAGUGGCGGCGUGCCAAGAAAACGCAGCAGAAUACCGCCUUUUUCCCGGCCGAGUACCGCCAAGGUAAACAAGGGGAAGGAAUGAUCUCAGAUUCCCAAAACCCUAAAACAAUAAAAGAAAAGUUAGGGUUUGGUAGAUAGGGAGAAGCCCGCCACCCCUUUCUUUCCAUCUCCUUUUUCCUCUCUCUUCCGGUCUGCAACCCUGGGGGGAGGAACUUCGAGAUCGAACUACUGGAGUUGGGGGUCAUGGCCGGAAUGGAGGUCGAUUCACCGCCGGAGCGGAAUUCUCCCCCGUCGCCCCGAGAUCGCAUCGUCCAGGCACGACUGCAUAAUCUCUCUCUCU